rnacentral:rRNA from 1 species
ACGGGUAGCCGGCCUGAGAGGGYGACCGGCCACACUGGGACUGAGACACGGCCCAGACUCCUACGGGAGGCAGCAGUGGGGAAUAUUGSACAAUGGGCGAAAGCCUGAUCCAGCRACGCCGCGUGAGGGAUGACGGCCUUCGGGUUGUAAACCUCUUUCAGCGCAGAMGAAGCGAAAGUGACGGUAUGCGCAGAAGAAGCRCCGGCYAACUACGUGCCAGCAGCCGCGGUAAUACGUAGGGUGCRAGCGUUGUCCGGAAUUAUUGGGCGUAAAGGGCUCGUAGGCGGUCUGUCRCGUCWGGAGUGAAAACUCGGGGCUYAACCCCGAGCSUGCUUCUGAUACGGGCAGACUAGAGGUAUGYAGGGGAGAACGGAAUUCCUGGUGUAGCGGUGAAAUGCGCAGAUAUCAGGARGAACACCGRUGGCGAAGGCRGKUCUCUGGGCMUUACCUGACRCUGAGGAGCGAAAGUGUGGGGAGCGAACAGGAUUAGAUACCCUGGUAGUCCACACCGUAAACGUUGGGCGCUAGGUGUGGGGSUCAUUCCACGAGUUCCGUGCCGCAGCUAACGCAUUAAGCGCCCCGCCUGGG